AGCUCCAAUAGCGUAUAUUAAUGUUGUUGCAGUUAAAAAGCUCGUAGUUGGAUUUCUGACAGGAGCGACCGGUCCGAGCCUCUGGUUCGAGUACUUUGUGUUGUCUCUAGUCAUCCUUAUGGAAAACGUGCAUGUUAUUAAUUUAGCGUGUUCGGGAUCCAUAUCGUUUACUGUGAAAAAAUUAGAGUGUUUAAAGCAGGCAAUCGCUGUGAAUACAUUAGCAUGGAAUAAUAAGAUAGGACUUUGGUACUAUUUUGUUGGUUUGCAUACCAAGGUAAUGAUUAAGAGGGACAGUUGGGGGUAUUCGUAUUUAAUUGUCAGAGGUGAAAUUCUUGGAUUUAUGAAAGACGAACUACUGCGAAAGCAUUUACCAAGGAUGUUUUCAUUAAUCAAGAACGAA
rnacentral:rRNA from 1 species